CUGAAUGUGAAUCAGUCUUUAUUCUGCACGAGCACUGUGCAUUAACAAAUCCAACAAACAAGAUAGCAUUACAUAGUGUAAGGUUAGCAUCACAGCGUUAUGCAAUGUCACACAGUUCAUGUUAGAUGUUUUUCUGGUUUUUUUGUUGUUUUUUUCUAUUUAAAAUUUUUGACACACUUUUAUUUAAUUGUUUUAGACAUUUCUGAGUUUCAUUUUUACAAGAGAAGACACAAGGUAAAGAAAGAUCAUGUUGGAGAGGGAUUGUGGUGAGGGCAGUGUCCCUACCUUGGUGAUGGUGAGAGCCUUUCUGGACAUGUGACCUGCCCUCCUCAGUCCCUCCCCUGAACAAGCUGUCUCUGUCCGGAUAACCAAUUGUGUCUGGAUUUUGGAUUGGGAGCAAGCUCUAUUCCAAUUCAACAGGGGUAUUUUUCUUGGUGGCUCCUAUCAGAAAGAGCUAGAAAAAAAGGAACCACUCUAGAAGGGGGCUUUUGAUGCUAUUAAAAGCUCUAUUCUUCCUAUAAGGGAAAUGCCCAGAGGCAGGGCAACCCUCCAAAAACAAAUCUCAAUUUCCCAAACCUAUUCCUGACCCUUAGAGAGAGAGAGAGAGAGAGGGAGAGAAAGAGAGAGACAGAGAGAGAGAGACAAAGAGAGAGAGACAGAGAGAGAGAGACAGAGACAGAGAGAGAGAGAGACAGAGAGAGAGAGAGAGAAAGAGAGAGAGACAGAAAGAGAAAGACAUAAAAUGAGAGAGAAAAAGACAGAGAAAAACAGACAGAGAAAAGAGAAAGACAGAGAGAGAGAAAAAAUAGAGAGAGAGAGAGAGAUGAGAAUGAGUGACAGAAAGAUAAACAAAAAAUGAGAGAGAAAAAGACAGAGAAAAACAGAAGAGAUAGAGAAAAGAGAAAGACAGAAAGAGAGAGACAAAAAGAGAAAUAGAGAUAGUCUUGUGCAAAAAAGAAAAAAGAAAAAGAAAAAGUGAGACUAUGACUCUCUUGCCUACCAAAUGAUUCCUAGGAGGAUUCGGUCCCCUGGCUCUGCCCUGACAGUGAUCCUUGAAAGGAGAAGGCCAGAGGAACACAGCCAACUAAUGAAACUUUGGGUCAACAAAGUCAAGGUCACCAAUGGAUCAGGCCUGAGGUAGGUAGGGAGAACCUGGUAAGCUAUCCUUGUCCCCAACAUUGUCUUUCUCUGAGAAAGUCAGUCAUGGAGAUCCAAAGGAUGGGAAGAAUAAAGCUACCAGGGGAGGUGGGAGAGUGAGGGGGUGGGUGGGAGUGGGGGAAGGGGAGAGGCAGUUUUCCCAAACUUAUGUCAGGAGGAGCUAUAGAGGCACACACACAGCAGGGCCAAAGCCCAGCUAUCUCCACCAGUUGCUUUGCAUUGUUUCUGGGAAGGAAACAGAAGUGGGGAUGCUCAGGGAUUUCUGAUCUUUAGGCAUUAAGGCGAUGAAGAGGAACCAUUUCCAUUUCUUCCUAGACGGGCUUCAAAACGCGCCUGUUGGAUUUACAUUAAACUAUCUCAAAGUGAGCUUUUAGAAAACAAAAAAAAAAAAAAUUAUUUUUUUUUCUACGUAUGAUACAGUAUUUACAAUCCUUGGGGCACAGGACAGAGACUAGUUUUCUGAACACAACUUAAAAAUGGGAGGAAAUGUGAGCCAGAAUACUGGAGGAAAAAGGGAAAGAAUUGGGGUGAGGGAAGGAAGGAGAGGACUCUUGUUAUUUUUUUUUUUUUUACCUAUUCAAAAAAG
ensembl:lncRNA